rnacentral:rRNA from 1 species
AGUGCAACUAGAGUAAUGUUUGUUGUAAACGGCGGCGUUAACGUGAGCGUCCUAAGGUAGCGCGAUAAUUUGCUUUUCAAUUGAAGGAUGGUAUGAAAGGGUUAACGAAGAAGGUGCUGUGUCUAAAAAUUUAAUUUAAACUAACUUUAAGGUGAAGAGGCCUUUAUGUAAAAGAAGGACGACAAGACCCUAUGAAGCUUUAUCUUAAUUGGAGCUUUCAGGCUCUUAUACGAUUUUGAUGGGAGAUCAGUAGAAAUAAGUCUUCUACUAUUAUAUUAAUCUUACUAGUAUUUCCUAACUUUAUAUGUGUGGCUAGCUACUCUAGGGAUAACAGCGCAAUUUCUCCCGAAAGAUGGUAUUGGAGGGGAAGAUUGCGACCUCAAUGUUGGCUUUAGAUACCCUAG